rnacentral:ncRNA from 2 species
AAAGAAAACACAGCGCCAGAACUCGUAUUGCGCGAGUUGACGAGGACAAGGAGAAUCGAAAAUUCGGCGGAUGCCUUGCGGUACGGUACUACCGGAAAUGUUGAAAAAAACAAAAAGCGAUUUUUGAACAAAUUCAACAGGGUACCUUGAA